GACGAACGCUGGCGGCGUGCCUAACACAUGCAAGUCGAACGAAGCUUGACGAAUGAUUUCUUCGGAAUGAAAUCUGAUAUGACUGAGUGGCGGACGGGUGAGUAACGCGUGAGCAACCUGCCCUUCGGAGGGGGAUAGUGUCUGGAAACGGACAGUAAUACCGCAUAACGUAUUUUUACCGCAUGAUAGAAAUACCAAAACUGAGGUGCCGAAGGAUGGGCUCGCGUUGGAUUAGAUAGUUGGUGGGGUAACGGCCUACCAAGUCGACGAUCCAUAGCCGGACUGAGAGGUUGAACGGCCACAUUGGGACUGAGACACGGCCCAG
rnacentral:rRNA from 1 species